rnacentral:rRNA from 1 species
UACAGAGACUGCAAGCGUUAUUCGGAUUCACUGGGCGUAAAGGGUGUGUAGGCGGUCUUGUUAGUCUUCUGUCAAAUUCUUCGGCUUAACCGGGGGCAUGCAGAGGAAACGGCAAGACUUGAGGAUGCGAGAGGUGAAUGGAACUCAUAGUGUAGGGGUGAAAUCCGUUGAUAUUAUGGGGAACACCAAAAGCGAAGGCAAUUCACUGGCGCACUCCUGACGCUGAAACACGAAAGCGUGGGUAGCGAAUGGG